AGCGAACGCUGGCGGCAGGCCUAACACAUGUAAGUCGAACGAACCCUUCGGGGUUAGUGGCGGACGGGUGAGUAGCACGUGGGAACGUGCCUUUAGGUUCGGAAUAACUCAGGGAAACUUGUGCUAAUACCGAAUGUGCCCUUCGGGGGAAAGAUUUAUCGCCUUUAGAGCGGCCCGCGUCUGAUUAGCUAGUUGGUGAGGUAAUGGCUCACCAAGGCUACGAUCAGUAGCUGGUCUGAGAGGAUGACCAGCCACAUUGGGACUGAGACACGGCCCAAACUCCUACGGGAGGCAGCAGUGGGGAAUCUUGCGCAAUGGGCGAAAGCCUGACGCAGCCAUGCCGCGUGGAUGAUGAAGGUCUUAGGAUUGUAAAAUCCUUUCACCGGUGAAGAUGAUGACUGUAGCCGGAGAAGAAGCCCCGGCUAACUUCGUGCCAGCCGCCGCGGUAAAAC
rnacentral:rRNA from 1 species